AACGCGAAGAACCUUACCAGGGCUUAAAUGUAGUCUGACAGGGGUGGAAACACCCUUUUCUUCGGACAGAUUACAAGGUGCUGCAUGGUUGUCGUCAGCUCGUGCCGUGAGGUGUCAGGUUAAGUCCUAUAACGAGCGCAACCCCUGUUGUUAGUUGCCAGCGAGUCAAGUCGGGAACUCUAACAAGACUGCCGGUGCAAACCGUGAGGAAGGUGGGGAUGACGUCAAAUCAUCACGGCCCUUACGUCCUGGGCCACACACGUGCUACAAUGGCAGGUACAAUGGGCAGCCACUGCGUAAGCAGGAGCGAAUCCACAAAACCUGUCUCAGUUCGGAUCGGGGUCUGCAACUCGACCCCGUGAAGCUGGAAUCGCUAGUAAUCGGAUAUCAGCCAUGAUCCGGUGAAUACGUUCCCGGGUCUGUACACACCG
rnacentral:rRNA from 1 species